rnacentral:rRNA from 1 species
GAUAAACGCUGGCGGCGAACAUAAGACAUGCAAGUCGAACGGACUUAACCGAAAUGUUUACAUUUUGGAGCGGUUAGUGACGGACUGGUGAGUAACACGUAAGCAACCUGCCUAUCAGAGGGGAAUAACAGUGAGAAUCAUUGCUAAUACCGCAUAUGCCAUGAGUAUCGCCUGAUACAAAUGGGAAAGGAGCAAUCCGCUGAUAGAUGGGCUUGCGUCUGAUUAGAUAGUUGGUGUGGUAACGGCAUACCAAGUCGACGAUCAGUAGCCGGACUGAGAGGUUGAACGGCCACAUUGGGACUGAGAUACGGCCCAGACUCCUACGGGAGGCAGCAGUCGGGAAUAUUGCACAAUGGAGGAAACUCUGAUGCAGUGACGCCGCGUGCAGGAAGAAGGUUUUCGGAUUGUAAACUGCUUUAGACAGGGAAGAGAAAGGACAGUACCUGUAGAAUAAGCUCCGGCUAACUACGUGCCAGCAGCCGCGGUAAUACGUAGGGAGCGAGCGUUAUCCGGAUUUAUUGGGUGUAAAGGGUGCGUAGACGGGUAAAUAAGUUAGUUGUGAAAUCCCUCGGCUCAACUGAGGAACUGCAACUAAAACUGUAUAUCUUGAGUGCGGGAGAGGAAAGUGGAAUUCCUAGUGUAGCGGUGAAAUGCGUAGAUAUUAAGAGGAACACCAGUGGCGAAGGCGACUUUCUGGACCGUAACUGACGUUGAGGCACGAAAGUGUGGGGAGCAAACAGGAUUAGAUACCCUGGUAGUCCACACUGUAAACGAUGGAUACUAGGUGUAGGGGUUAUUAAGACUUCUGUGCCGUCGCAAACGCAGUAAGUAUCCCACCUGGGGAGUACGACGCAAGGUUGAAACUCAAAGGAAUUGACGGGGGCCCGCACAAGCAGUGGAGUAUGUGGUUUAAUUCGAAGCAACGCGAAGAACCUUACCAGGGCUUGACAUACAGAGGAAUAUAUAAGAGAUUAUAUAGUACUUCGGUACCUCUAUACAGGUGGUGCAUGGUUGUCGUCAGCUCGUGUCGUGAGAUGUUGGGUUAAGUCCCGCAACGAGCGCAACCCCUGUUUCUAGUUGCCAGCACGUAAAGGUGGAACUCUAGAGAGACUGCCGGUGAUAAAUCGGAGGAAGGUGGGGACGACGUCAAAUCAUCAUGCCCUUUAUGUCCUGGGCUACACACGUACAACAAUGGCGUUCAACAAAGAGAAGCGAAAUCGCGAGAUGGAGCAAAACUCAAAAACAACGUCCCAGUUCAGAUUGCAGGCUGCAACUCGCCUGCAUGAAGUCGGAAUUGCUAGUAAUCGCAGAUCAGCAUGCUGCGGUGAAUACGUUCCCGGGCCUUGUACACACCGCCCGUCACACCAUGAGAGCCGGGGGGACCCGAAGUCGGCAGUCUAACCGCAAGGAGGACGCCGCCGAAGGUAAAACUGGUGAUUGGGGUGA